UGAUGCGGUAGUGUCAAGAUUCAAGGUCGCUCGUUUAAUUGGAGGAAGUAAUUCAUUGGUUACGGAAGGAGCGUAUGAAAAAAGGAAUAACAGAAAAGCUGAUUAUUGGUUUGCUCAAAAUCAACUGAAAAUGCAUAUAGAAAGUGUCGUAGUUUAAUUAACUCGAUGAAUUCCUUAAGUAAGUAUUUACACGUUAGAUUGAGUUAACAACACGGUUGGCAAGUGUUGGAUGAUUCAACUGUGUAGGAGAGAAUUCUGGGAUGAGUCAGGGGAACCCGUUAUUGCAUUCCUUUCCAGAACGGGCAAAAUUAUGCGACCUUGAAAUGUGACUGUCUUCGUUCGCAAGAUGACACUGGUCUAACAAUGCAAUGUAAAGAAAUAGGACCAAAAAAAGAAAAAGAAAAAGAAAAAGAAAAAAUGUAAGUAAAAACUAGAUCGACUAGUUUGAUCGAGGCUGAGGCUAACUACAUCGAUAGGAUCUCAUUGCAUUGAUGACCUUGUCGUGGCUUUCACGAUUACUUGCCCACCCAGAAUUAAUGCCUAGGGUCUUUCGAUUAAAACGUAACGUUCUAUCCAUCUUGGCUUUUAAUGCUGUGUUGGUUGAUGAGAUUGGAUAGACCAUAUCAACGUAAAUAGAAUGAUUUAGCAUCGUUAAGGACAAAUUCCAGAAUUGCUAAUGCACAAAUUAUCUCGUUAAAUUAUUACCAAGACUUAAUGAGAAAUUAUUCGACUAAUUUACUUGAUCUAAGUGCAACAUUGCGGAAGACAUUUUUGUCUAAUAAUUGGAUGGAUAAAAAAAGUUGGAAAGAUUCGAACACAUUCGAAUACAUCGAUGUCAAU